GCUAAAAAGACCUUAACCAAAUUUUUUAUCCCCAGGGGUCAUGUUGCUUGUGUGGCCGGUGUGAAUGUGACCGGGGGCUUGGCAGGGGUGAUGGGAGGCUUGGCAAGGGUGGCAGGGGGGCGAGGUACAGCCAAUACCCCCCGGCGUACAUGCCCUCAAAACUGCAGGAGAUGGAGGACAGCGGGGAGAUGAAGGAAUUUGAGUAGCGGGCGGUCCGAGUGGCCCACAGCACCCACACCACCUCCGUACUCCACCACCCGCUUGUCAGGAAAUUCACCAACCACAUCAUGAAAACAGGAAACAAACCUCUGGCCAGGGAACUUGUCGAGAAGGUCAAAGGUCACAACUAGCCAGCCGGGAGUGGGUCAGGAUGGCACGGCUGGCUGUGGUGGUGGUGGUGGUGGUAUUGGUGUUGGCGGCAGCAGCAGCGGA